rnacentral:rRNA from 1 species
AUUGAACGCUGGCGGCAGGCCUAAUACAUGCAAGUCGAGCGGAGCGGCGGACGGGUGAGUACUGCCUAGGAAUCUGCCUGGUAGUGGGGGAUAACGUCCGGAAACGGGCGCUAAUACCGCAUAAUAUCAGAUGAGCCUAGGUUGGAUUAGCUAGUUGGUGGGGUAAAGUCCUACCAAGGCGACGAUCCGUAACUGGUCUGAGAGGAGGAUAAGUCACAAUGGGACUGAGACACGGUCCAGACUCCUACGGGAGGCAGCAGUAGGGAAUAUGGGGAAAUGGACGAAAGCCUGAUCCAGCCACGCCGCGUGUGUGAAGAAGGUCUUCGGAUUGUAAAACACUUUAAGUUGGGAGGCGUUACCAAAAGAAUAAGCACCGGCUAACUUCGUGCCAGCAGCCGCGGUAAUUC